rnacentral:rRNA from 1 species
GACAGAGAUGCCAAGCGUUGUUCGGAAUCACUGGGCAUAAAGGGCGCGUAGGCGGUCUUGUAAGUCAGGGGUGAAAUCCCCCGGCUCAACCGGGGAAUUGCUUCUGAUACUGCAAGGCUUGAGGUCGGAAGGGGAAGGUGGAAUUCCAGGUGUAGCGGUGAAAUGCGUUGAUAUCUGGAGGAACGCCGGCGGCGAAAGCGACCUUCUGGUCCGAUUCUGACGCUGAAGCGCGAAAGCUAGGGGAGCAAACGGG